rnacentral:rRNA from 1 species
GACGAACGCUGGCGGCGUGCUUAACACGUGCAAGUCGAACGGAAAGGCCCUGCUUUUGUGGGGUGCUCGAGUGGCGAACGGGUGAGUAACACGUGAGUAACCUGCCCUUGACUUUGGGAUAACUUCAGGAAACUGGGGCUAAUACCGGAUAGGAGCUCCUGCUGCAUGGUGGGGGUUGGAAAGUUUCGGCGGUUGGGGAUGGACUCGCGGCUUAUCAGCUUGUUGGUGGGGUAGUGGCUGACCAAGGCUUUGACGGGUAGCCGGCCUGAGAGGGUGACCGGCCACAUUGGGACUGAGAUACGGCCCAGACUCCUACGGGAGGCAGCAGUGGGGAAUAUUGCACAAUGGGCGGAAGCCUGAUGCAGCAACGCCGCGUGCGGGAUGACGGCCUUCGGGUUGUAAACCGCUUUCGCCUGUGACGAAGCGUGAGUGACGGUAAUGGGUAAAGAAGCACCGGCUAACUACGUG